GGGCCUGAUAGGUUUUGCACACCUCACAUAGCCCACACUGCUCUGGCUAUUUUUCUGUGGUCUCUCAGGCAUUGGAACCGUGGGAAGCGAGUCUCCUGCCCAUCUCUGUUCAUCCCGGACAGUUGCAAUUGUGGAGGGACCCUCCAAUGACAUUGGACACUGGAGGCCCAGAGAAGGAAGUCCUCUGAAGAGAAUAAAAUAGUCCACUUAAAGCAACACCAGAAGUCUCUUGGGAUAUGUGAGGACAAUAGCUCCCUGUGUGUGCUGGAGACCUUGGACAAAGUCCCCAAGUCAUAUCCAUACCUACAAGGUGUCAGAAGAAAAGAUUACAACACAUCCCGUUUAAAGUGGGCUCAACCUACUCCAAGGCACCCUCUUCUGGUGAGAAUCACAGGCCUAGAAGGAAAGAAGGGGAUGUCUAUCAGCUGCCAUGCCUGUGCCUCUCUGCUUCCUUUGUUCCAUGCACAUGGCACACUGUCUACUUGCUCAAUGCUGUGGUCUCAGCCCUAGCACUGGACUCAGUAAGGAAUUAGUUGAGCGAAUGAAUGGAUUCUCCAGCAAUCUUUAUAAAAUAUGUUUUCCACAUUUUUCAGACAAGGAAACUGCAACAAAAAGUGUCAGACCCCACACUGUGAUCUCAACACUGCUGAGCUCUGCCUGGAAUCUUGGAACUCUCCAGCGAUCUCCUCUCCUUAAGAGUGGACGUGGGAUGCCUCCACGCAUUCAGUCAAAAUAAGGUUAUGGUGUGCCUGUUGUGUGCUAGGAAUUAUCUUCUCAUCAGAAAAAGAAUCUCUCUAUGUUUUGGGAAUAAGUGAAGAACAAAAUGAUGAUGUGUAAGAGGUUCUUGCCAAAUUGGUCGGCACAGAGAAGCCCUGGAGAAAGGCUGACAGUAUUGCUGGUGGGGGCUCUGCUGGCUGGUUUCCAGGACUCUUCCUCUGGGACAGCUUGUGCUUCCUGCCACCCUCCCCAGGGUCAUUUCUUAUCCUUCCCCAGUUGCAUUUUGAUAUUUCCUUUUAAGAUUUUACUGUUUUUCAAAAGAUCCAAAAGUAAUUAAAACUCUAGCCAUUGAAAUGGCAGUUCUAACAAGUCGUCUUAGAGUCAUUGUCACCUCAUGGGGCUGCUAGCAAGGUAUCCAUAUGAAAUCAUCUUAUCCACACUGGGAAAGUCUCUGACACACCCAUAAAGGCAUGUUCAUCCAGUAUGCACACUGAGUGUCCUCCACAUUCCACAGAUUGUGAGAAGCACAGACACAUUACAGAGAAUGAGAUGGAUACAAUAUUGCCUUAAACGAACUGGUGGCCAAGCCAAAUUCUAACUGCAGAGAAUGAUCAGGAAGGAGCGAUUUGAGGAAAUAACAUGUGAGCUAGACUUUUAAGGAGGAGAAAGAGCCAGCUGCAGAAAGCCAGCAAGAAUGGUGUUUAAUGCAAAGAAAAUCAUAAACCGACCCCUAGCUGGAAAUGAUCCUAACCUGUGGAAGCUCCUGAAUUGAGUGAGGAACCGGCUGGCAGGAGAGCAUAACCCAGCUCAUCCUGACUGAUGCCACCAUUUCAAGAGAAGAGAAAUGAGACUGAGAAAGAUUAAGAUAUUUUCUUAAGAUUGGACACUGUGUUCCUACCCGUUGUGCUUGCCUUAUAGUCGAAAGAGAAUUUAUUUAAGCACAGAGAUCAAGCAAAAGUGGAGCACAGGACACACUUUCAAGUUGCCUUGGGGACUGCUCUGUAGAACAAAAAAGAAACUCAAGAUUUUAAGGAAUAAAAAGUACAAAUGAAGAGAAGGCAUGAUUACAAAAGUUGUUGAUCAGUAAUUCUCAUUGGUAGACAGAAAUACCAGUGGCUAAUGAUCGGCUAUACAUUGUUGAAUUAUAGGAUGUAUGGUAUUUAAAAUAUAUUUAUUUAAAACUAAAUUUUUUAAAGAUUUUUGAUGGGUUUAGGGGUACAGGUGCAGUUGUGUUACAUGGAUAUAUUGUGUAGAGGUGAAAUCUGAGCUUUUAAUGUACAACUACCCAAAUAAGAUACAUUGAACCCGAUAGGCAGCAUUUCACUUUCACCCUCAUUCUAUCCUCCCACCGUUUGGAGCCUCCAAUGUCUAUCAUUCAACUCAGUAAGUCCAUGUCCAUGGUUUAGCGCCCACGUAUAAGUGGGAAUGUGCAGUUCUUGAUUUUCUGUUUCUGAGUCAUUUCACUAAGGAUAAUGCCCUCCAGCUCCAUACACAUUGCUGCAAAAGUCAUAAUUUCAUUCACUUUUAUGGCUGAAUAGUAUUCCAUGGUAUAUAUCUACCAGAUUGUUUUAUUCAAUGAUGUGUUGAUGGACACUUAGGUUGAUUUCACAACUUUGCUAUUCUGAAUUGUGAUACAAUAAAUAUACAAAUGCA